rnacentral:rRNA from 1 species
GUUGAACGUCGGCGGCGUGCCUAAUACAUGCAAGUCGAGCGAUUCUGGGACGUGUGCGUAACACGUGGAAAACCUCCUAUAAGACUGGGAUAAAUUCGGGAAACCGGAGCUAAAUCGGAUACUUAUAGAUGGAUCCGCGCUGCAUUGGCUAGUUGGUAAGGUAACGGCUUACCAAGGCAACGAUGCAUAGCCGACCUGGGAGGUGGAUCGGCCACCCUGGAGCUGGUGCACGGUCCAUACUCCUCCGGGGGGCAGCAUGAGGGAAUCUUCCGCAAUGGGCGAAAGCCUGACGGAACAACGCCGCGUGAGUGAUGUAGGUCUUCAGAUCGUAAAACUCUGUUAUUAGGAAAGCAAUACCUAAUCAGAAAGCCACGGCUAACGACGUGCCAGCAGCCGCGGUAAUAC